rnacentral:rRNA from 1 species
UACGGAGGGUGCGAGCGUUGUCCGGAAUCAUUGGGCGUAAAGGGCGCGUAGGUGGCGCGGUAAGCGUGCGGUGAAAGCCUGGGGCUCAACCCCGGGUCGGCCGUGCGAACUGCUGGGCUUGAGCACUGUAGAGGCAGGCGGAAUUCCGGGUGUAGCGGUGGAAUGCGUAGAGAUCCGGAAGAACACCCGUGGCGAAGGCGGCUCUCUGGAACGCAACUGACGCUGAGACGCGAAAGCGUGGGGAGCAAACAGG